CCUACGGGCGGCAGCAGUGAGGAAUAUUGGUCAAUGGGCGAGAGCCUGAACCAGCCAAGUCGCGUGAAGGAUGACGGCCCUACGGGUUGUAAACUUCUUUUGGCAGGGAGCUAUUGGGUCCACGCGUGGGCUUAGCACGAGUACCUGAAGAAAAAGCAUCGGCUAACUCCGUGACAGAAGCCGCGGUAAUACGGAGGAUGCGAGCGUAAUCCGGAUUUAUGGGGUUUAAAGGGUGCGUAGGCGGAAUGUCAAGUCAGCGGUAAAAAUUCGGGGCUCAACACCGUCGUGCCGUUGAAACUGAUGUUCUUGAGUGGGCGAGAAGUAGGUGGAAUGCGUGGUGUAGCGGUGAAAUGCAUAGAUAUCACGAAGAACACUCAUUGCGAAGGCAGCCUACCGGCGCCCAACUGACGCUGAAGCACGAAAGCGUGGGUAUCGAACAGGAUUAGAUACCCCAGUAGUC
rnacentral:rRNA from 1 species